rnacentral:rRNA from 1 species
GACGAACCGUGCGAACGUUAUUCGGAAUCACUGGGCUUAAAGCGCGUGUAGGCGGGCCGCCGCGUCGGCUGCUGAAAUCCCCCGGCUCAACCGGGGAACGGGCACCGAUACGGGCGGCCUCGAGGGGGGUAGGGGGGUCUGGAACUUCCGGUGGAGCGGUGAAAUGCGUUGAGAUCGGAAGGAACGCCCGUGGCGAAGGCGACUUACUGGACUGUAACUGACACUGAGGCAUGAAAGCGUGGGGAGCAAACAGG